UACGAAGGGGGCUAGCGUUGUUCGGAUUUACUGGGCGUAAAGCGCACGUAGGCGGGUUGUUAAGUCAGGGGUGAAAUCCUGGAGCUCAACUCCAGAACUGCCUUUGAUACUGGGGAUCUCGAGUCCGGAAGAGGUGAGUGGAACUCCGAGUGUAGAGGUGAAAUUCGUAGAUAUUCGCAAGAACACCAGUGGCGAAGGCGGCUCACUGGCCCGGUACUGACGCUGAGGUGCGAAAGCGUGGGGAGCAAACAGG
rnacentral:rRNA from 1 species